AAAAAUCCUGUAACUAUUUCUCCUUUUACCCAAAUGGUUUUGGUUCAUUCUCAUAACCGGACUCUCGUCGUCUCGAUCUGUUUGUCCUGCAGAGAAGUUCUCCCAGCAGACGAGCAGAAAGAGGAGACGGAGGAUUCUGCCGUCAAAGACCCAGAACCAGAAAAGGCGUCAGACCCUGAUCCACAGCCAGAACCUGAACCAGAACCAGAACCACAGAUCCCAAACCAGGAAGACGCUCCCGAAGCUCCGCCCGUGACCCAGCAGCCGCAGAGAGCCGCAGACGCUGCGGUCGCCAACACAGACAAAGCUGAUGAAAAGGAAGCUGAGGCUGCUGGUGACGACUGUGGCGAGAGUGUCCGCCCCGCCGUGAACGUCGAGGACGUUGACCACGAGAAAGCAGGAGGAGGCGAGGAGAGGAUCGACGCCUCCCAGACUCCCGCCCUGCAGGACCCCAAACUCACCACCCUCACCGUCCCCGUGAACCCCUCCGGGGGUCGGCAGAGUAAAGGAGACAAAGAGUAAGGAGACUGCAUGAGUGCUGUCAGUUCUGUCUUCUGUCAUUCUAGAGAUGCACGUCUGCAUAGCAUGCAUGCAUUCAUGGCAAUAAACUUCACAAACACAGGAAACAUCUUCACUUUUUGCAGCCGCGUCGAAAAAUCAAAUAAAUGAUUCUCAUAAACUACAAAAAUACAAGAGAUUCUAUUAUAAAAAGAUAAAACCGUCACCUGAAAACCUCUUUUCUGUUGCUGUCAUGCUGCUCCAUCUCUUUCUCAUCUUUUAGUUUUGUCUGUUUCGUUCAGUCCUGCACAAACUCUUUAAGUUCAACUUGAAAUAUAGAUUCUUGUUUGUUUGUUUGUUUGUUUGUUUUGGAUGCUAUAUUCUGUUUAAAGAGCUGCCAAAAAAAUGUGCAAAAACUCCCCAAAUCAUCCGAUCCUGUCAAUGCAGAACAUGCAGUGUUGCAUGAAGUGAUGUGAAGUUUUUUUUAUUUUUGUGCUUGUUUUGUUUCUCUCUGUUUUAAUGUUGUUCUCUUUUAUUUGGCUUUGUGCUUUUGGCUGCUCUGUGAUUGUUUACACGUCAUAUUUUAGCAAAAGUCAAUAAAAAAAACUGCAUCCCAGCCUUUGUGGUUUGUGUGUCUGCUGCCUGGUUGCUUCUUUUUGUUGUCUGAAUUGACGUGGUGUUUUUCACACGAACCCUCAUCCGGCCGCUCACGACGGGGUGGGAGGAGUCGCAGGAGUAUCUGGACAAAGAUGUAAGAACCCCCCCAUCACGGGUCUGCACUCACUUCUCCUAAAAACACCUGGUGGGGUUGGGCUCGGAGGCCGUGAUGCUGUGGUGUCUGCUCCAACAGCAAGCUGCUCCAUUCUCAAAGUGAGGAUGAAGACGCAGAGGUGAGCGUCCCCGUGAGGGCGUGGCCCAGCCAGUCCAGCCUGCACAGCACCGACGACGUGUGAGCAUGGCGUGCGCGGUUAGGGACCGGGGAAGUCCGGCCGGGCUCGCCUCGCUGACGUGGAACUCUGUCUCCAAGCCUGAAGGAGCGUCCGUCCUCCUCCGCCAGCCAGACCAGCGCCAUGGUGAACGAGCGUCUGCAGGAGCUGGUGAGGAUGUUCAAAGAGAGGACGGAGAAGGCCAAGGAGAAGCUCAUCGACGAAUUUCCGCUGCACGUGUUUACAUCCGAAGCCUUCUAAUGACUGAAAAAGGCCAAAGAGAAGCUCUCGACCCCUGAUGAUUUCUUUCGAGGACAGAGAAGAGAGGA
rnacentral:lncRNA from 1 species